UAGGGAAUCUUCGGCAAUGGGGGGAACCCUGACCGAGCAACGCCGCGUGAGUGAAGAAGGUUUUCGGAUCGUAAAGCUCUGUUGUUAAGGAAGAACGAGUGUGAGAAUGGAAAGUUCAUGCUGUGACGGUACUUAACCAGAAAGGGACGGCUAACUACGUGCCAGCAGCCGCGGUAAUACGUAGGUCCCGAGCGUUGUCCGGAUUUAUUGGGCGUAAAGCGAGCGCAGGCGGUUAGAAAAGUCUGAAGUGAAAGGCAGUGGCUCAACCAUUGUAGGCUUUGGAAACUGUUUAACUUGAGUGCAGAAGGGGAGAGUAGAAUUCCGUGUGUAGCGGUGAAAUGCGUAGAUAUAUGGAGGAACAACGGUGGCGAAAGCGGCUCUCUGGUCUGUAACUGACGCUGAGGCUCGAAAGCGUGGGGAGCGAACAGG
rnacentral:rRNA from 1 species